GGUUAAGCGACUAAGCGUACACGGUGGAUGCCCUGGCAGUCAGAGGCGAUGAAGGGCGUGCUAAUCUGCGAUAAGCGCCGGUAAGGUGAUAUGAACCGUUAUAACCGGCGAUACCCGAAUGGGGAAACCCAGUGUGAUUCGUCACACUAUCAUUAACUGAAUCCAUAGGUUAAUGAGGCGAACCGGGGGAACUGGAAACAUCUAAGUACCCCGAGGAAAAGAAAUCAACCGAGAUUCCCCCAGUAGCGGCGAGCGAACGGGGAGGAGCCCAGAGCCUGAAUCAGCAUGUGUGUUAGUGGAAGCGUCUGGAAAGGCGCGCGAUACAGGGUGACAGCCCCGUACACAAAAGCGCAUGUGCUGUGAGCUCGAUGAGUAGGGCGGGACACGUGGUAUCCUGUCUGAAUAUGGGGGGACCAUCCUCCAAGGCUAAAUACUCCUGACUGACCGAUAGUGAACCAGUACCGUGAGGGAAAGGCGAAAAGAACCCCGGCGAGGGGAGUGAAAAAGAACCUGAAACCGUGUACGUACAAGCAGUGGGAGCCCCACCACCAAAGCAUUCUCUGGUGUUGAAGGCCCUGCAAAGCAGCAUCGCGGUGGCGGAGCGUCGUUUGCGACGCCCAACACACAAAACAAGCGGUGAGUGCUUUGGGGUGGGGUGACUGCGUACCUUUUGUAUAAUGGGUCAGCGACUUAUAUUCUGUAGCAAGGUUAACCGAAUAGGGGAGCCGGAGGGAAACCGAGUCUUAAUUGGGCGUUAAGUUGCAGGGUAUAGACCCGAAACCCGGUGAUCUAGCCAUGGGCAGGUUGAAGGUUGGGUAACACUAACUGGAGGAAUCGAACCGACUAAUGUUGAAAAAAUUAGCGGAUGACCUGUGGCUGGGGGGUGAAAGGCCAAUCAAACCGGGAGAUAGCUGGUUCUCCCCGAAAGCUAUUUAGGUAGCGCCUCGUGAAUUCAUCUCCGGGGGUAGAGCACUGUUUCGGCUAGGGGGCCAUCCCGGCUUACCAACCCGAUGCAAACUGCGAAUACCGGAGAAUGUUAUCACGGGAGACACACGGCGGGUGCUAACGUCCGUCGUGAAGAGGGAAACAACCCAGACCGCCAGCUAAGGUCCCAAAAGUCAUGGUUAAGUGGGAAACGAUGUGGGAAGGCCCAGACAGCCAGGAUGUUGGCUUAGAAGCAGCCAUCAUUUAAAGAAAGCGUAAUAGCUCACUGGUCGAGUCGGCCUGCGCGGAAGAUGUAACGGGGCUAAACCAUGCACCGAAGCUGCGGCAGCGACACUCAGGUGUUGUUGGGUAGGGGAGCGUUCUGUAAGCCUGCGAAGGUGGCCUGUGAGGGUUGCUGGAGGUAUCAGAAGUGCGAAUGCUGACAUAAGUAACGAUAAAGCGGGUGAAAAGCCCGCUCGCCGGAAGACCAAGGGUUCCUGUCCAACGUUAAUCGGGGCAGGGUGAGUCGACCCCUAAGGCGAGGCCGAAAGGCGUAGUCGAUGGGAAACGGGUUAAUAUUCCCGUACUUGGUGUUACUGCGAAGGGGGGGACGGAGAAGGCUAUGUUGGCCGGGCGACGGUUGUCCCGGUUUAAGCGUGUAGGUGUGUGUUCCGAGGUAAAUCCGGUUCACUUUAACACUGAGGCGUGAUGACGAGGCACUACGGUGCUGAAGCAACAAAUGCCCUGCUUCCAGGAAAAGCCUCUAAGCAUCAGGUAACAUCAAAUCGUACCCCAAACCGACACAGGUGGUCAGGUAGAGAAUACCAAGGCGCUUGAGAGAACUCGGGUGAAGGAACUAGGCAAAAUGGUGCCGUAACUUCGGGAGAAGGCACGCUGACACGUAGGUGAAGUGAUUUACUCAUGGAGCUGAAGUCAGUCGAAGAUACCAGCUGGCUGCAACUGUUUAUUAAAAACACAGCACUGUGCAAACACGAAAGUGGACGUAUACGGUGUGACGCCUGCCCGGUGCCGGAAGGUUAAUUGAUGGGGUCAGCGCAAGCGAAGCUCCUGAUCGAAGCCCCGGUAAACGGCGGCCGUAACUAUAACGAUUCCCAUAAGGUAGCGAAAUUCCUUGUCGGGUAAGUUCCGACCUGCACGAAUGGCGUAAUGAUGGCCAGGCUGUCUCCACCCGAGACUCAGUGAAAUUGAACUCGCUGUGAAGAUGCAGUGUACCCGCGGCAAGACGGAAAGACCCCGUGAACCUUUACUAUAGCUUGACACUGAACAUUGAGCCUUGAUGUGUAGGAUAGGUGGGAGGCUUUGAAGUGUGGACGCCAGUCUGCAUGGAGCCGACCUUGAAAUACCACCCUUUAAUGUUUGAUGUUCUAACGUGGACCCGUAAUCCGGGUUGCGGACAGUGUCUGGUGGGUAGUUUGACUGGGGCGGUCUCCUCCUAAAGAGUAACGGAGGAGCACGAAGGUUGGCUAAUCCUGGUCGGACAUCAGGAGGUUAGUGCAAUGGCAUAAGCCAGCUUGACUGCGAGCGUGACGGCGCGAGCAGGUGCGAAAAGCAGGUCAUAGUGAUCCGGUGGUUCUGAAUGGAAGGGCCAUCGCUCAACGGAUAAAAGGUACUCCGGGGAUAACAGGCUGAUACCGCCCAAGAGUUCAUAUCGACGGCGGUGUUUGGCACCUCGAUGUCGGCUCAUCACAUCCUGGGGCUGAAGUAGGUCCCCAAGGGUAUGGCUGUUCGCCAUUUAAAGUGGUACGCGAGCUGGGUUUAGAACGUCGUGAGACAGUUCGGUCCCUAUCUGCCGUGGGCGCUGGAGAACUGAGGGGGGCUGCUCCUAGUACGAGAGGACCGGAGUGGACGCAUCACUGGUGUUCGGGUUGUCAUGCCAAUGGCACUGCCCGGUAGCUAAAUGCGGAAGAGAUAAGUGCUGAAAGCAUCUAAGCACGAAACUUGCCCCGAGAUGAGUUCUCCCUGAGACUUUAAGUCUCCUGAAGGAACGUUGAAGACGACGACGUUGAUAGGCCGGGUGUGUAAGCGCAGCGAUGCGUUGAGCUAACCGGUACUAAUGAACCGUGAGGCUUAACCUU
rnacentral:rRNA from 1 species